CUUGUUAAUGAUUACAAAGCAGCUGGAAAAUUCAGGCUCUUCACAAAGGAAAGUCAAUAAAAAAUGCAUAUGGGCACCAAUAACAACAAUCACAUAAGGUCACUGAGAAGCAGCCAGUGUGUGGUCCAAGGUCUGAAGGAAGCAUAAUGACCAAGAAUGGGAAAUCUUCCCUGAUGUGAACCAGGUUCUCACAGGAGUGGAAGCCUGUCUGUUGCUUUGGAGACCAUUAUCUGGAAAAAAACAGGAUGUUGACAGGAACUUUGGCCAAUUUCUUCAUUAUGUCCUACAAGAAAUAGCCUGUGGUCAAGUUAAUUCAAGGGAGAAUGCAUGAAGUCGAAGGCGCUGGCAGGCGGAAUGACAGUAUUGACCCAAGUCUCCGCUGCUAUCCGCCAAGCAGAGCACUUAUGUCAUAAAGAAAAUCAGCGCAGCUGGAAUCUCAGCCGUUAGGGCUCAACUUGGUUGAUCACUGGUUUACUGAUAGAGAAAAGAACAAUGCAGAAUAGCGUCAAGAAACUCAACAUGCUUCUGGAAUGGGGGAAUUUUUGCCUUAGUGGUGAACAAUCUGCAUGAGUAGAGGAAUUUAAAAUCAAUGAUAGCUCUUGAGGAUUUUACAUGAGACACUGAAUUCCGAGUCUAUGACAGUUUUACAAGGAGACAACGCUUCAUAUUGCAGAGCCUGAUGCUCAGAAGCCUAUUUGAAGGAAAAUCUCUCAUUCCAGUUUGCCUUCACCUGAGAAGGAAACAGACCCACGUGCCUGGCCACGGGUGCCGCCAGAACACUGUGGUAACAAACAAGUUUAAAAGCAGUGGCUCCUGCAAGAAAGUUAUGUUUGUUGCUUCUUCUUCGGAUUGGCCUGGGUUUAACUCCUGCCACCUGAAGAUCACUGGAAGGAGCAGCCUCCCUCUGGAAGAGGGCCAAAGUUACAGGCCAAGCUUAACUCCAGAAGGGUCAGGAAAAUAGAGAUCUUGCUUCGAGAGAGGCACUGGAUAUUGCCAUAUGAACCAGAAAAGCAAUGUACUCAUCUAUCAUAUGGGAAUAAAAGGUCACACCCGUUGUACAGAGCAACUGAGAUUACAUGGAAUAAUCCAUCUGAAGAGUCUUGUGUGAUACCUGCAAGUGAGGACCGGGAGACGAGGACCCAUUUGGACAAAGAAGGACGACCAUGUGAAGACAGGAGAAAAUGACCAGCUGCAAGGCAAAGAGAGAGGGCUUACAAGAAACUAACCCUACUGACAACUUGUUCUGGGACUUCAAGCUUCCCCAGUUGUGAAAGAAUAGAUUUCUGUUGUUAGAGUCACCUGGUCUAUGGUACUUUGCUGCGGACACCAUAGCUCACUAAUACAAGGUUUUAGCUUACAACAUGAGGAAUAUCCACUGUCCUCCUCCCCAUCCAUACCAUGAUGAAGAGGAGCAGAUCAUCCUAUCCUGCCCUACCCCUGAUCUAGAGACCGGGAUUGAGCAGUUCUCUUGGGUCUUUCAAUGGGCAAGAACCAGGUUUAAUGCCACAAAAAAGUCUGUUUUCUUGUUCCCAGCCACCCAUGCCUUUUCACUGGCCAUCUUGUUUAGGUAAUAAUGGCUCAAGGCAAGCCCAUUGAGAAUGUUCCUUUUCACUGCUGGUGACAGUAUACUGAUUAGUUAAGCUAGCUGUACCCAUCAGCUCUUCUUUUCUUCCCUCAAGUUAGAUACAGGCACUUGAACUUGAGAUUUGUUAACAAUAAAUUUAUUCUCAAAUUCCAAGCAAGUAAUGCAUUAUAGAUGUGUUGGAUUCUAAACAAGUAAUCAAAAUAUGUUAUAACUCUGUUGGUUUAAUAGCCAUAGUGCACACUUAUUUUCACUCUGGCAUUUUUUAGGCUAUUGUAGAAAUAGCUGCCAAUGGAUUUGUGUGUGUGUGUGUGUGUGUGUGUGUGUGUGUGUGUGUGAUAGCAUAGCACAUACUAGGUGUUC